rnacentral:lncRNA from 1 species
GGAAGUGGUGGCUCUGAGUCAGCACGAGUCAUCUGGUUCCAGUGACAAUGAAGACUGAGGUGUCUGCUUUGCAGUUUUUUUUUUUCUUUUCUUGUCUUUUUUUUUUUUUUUCCUAAUCAUGUGGACAUCUCUGAGAAUGAGGGGACUGGGUGACUUUGCAGUGUCUGCUUUCUAAGUUUCAAAGUGACUUUCCAGGCAAGCUGCGCAUAUCUUGGGAUCUUCACAGCACAGUGGCUGGGAAGGCAGGCGGACCCGUCUAUCAGCUUCUCCCUGGUGGGAUUCUUGCGGGGGCAGGGAUCGAGUCAAACCUUGGAAAUGACGUCAUUCUGAACUCAUCUGCCUUUAUCCAGAAGACUACCAAAGCAAACCAGAGGACCAGAGAACAGCAGCUGCUCUGGACAAAGAGGGGAGGACACCCACACCCACAUACCAAGUUCUGGUUGACUUCUACAGCAGAAGAAGCAGGAGACACAAGAAGGGGAAGACACAAGGAAGCUGGGCAUGAUGGCCAAGUGUUAGAGGGUUACACUACUGCCUUCUGCUUCUGAUCUGAUUGAGUCACAGCUGAGAUGUGGCACCAGGACUCUUGGCUACACUCAGUUCUCUCAGUUUGACUGAGUACUCUGGGAUCACAGAAGUGACUACAUGAUGCUUCAGGCCCAAAGCAACAGGGCCCACCAGCCAUAGACAGAACUGUCUGAAGCUGUGAGCCCAAAGAAAUUCCUCCAUCUUGUUUUCCUGGGACUCUGUCACACUGAUGAAAAGUUCUAUGAUUCUAGGCUUUAGUAAGAAGGCCUUCGGAAUCUCCAAAGAAACCAAACGUGUACGUGGGAAGAAGUGUACUUGGUUCGUGUGAUUAUGGAGUCUGACAAGUUCAAAAUCUUCAGUGAGAGCUGUCUGGCUGUAUUCACGAAGAACCGAUGCCAUACUGUCUGGCUGGCAUUAGAGCCCUCUGAUGAGUGUGGACAACGGUGGGAACAGGAGGAAAACAAAGCCCAGAGACACCAGUGGGAGAGACCGUGUCAGGGAGAGCAAGGAUGCUGUGUGAGCUGCAUGUGAGUUUUGUGAGUUAUGAGUCACAGGUGGCUCCAACCCUGCUUUCUGUCCUUCAGUCUCCCAUUCAGCACCCAACAGAAGAUGCUAGGCACCACUCUGCAUCCUCAAGGGAUAUCGUAUGAAGCAAGAGGCAGGUUUUCUUGGGUCCACAGCAACAUCAAAAAAGAGCAAAACGGACAUGCAAAUAAAUCUAUUUUAGCAUUUGAGACAGACGUCCAACUGAGGAACAUGAUCAGAAGAUGCCAGCCAGUAUAAACAUAUUUUGAAAAUAUGUAUUUCAUUUCUUAUAUAUGUACAUUUGUUCUCGUCGAAAAUAAAGAUCAAAUCAAAUUUCAGAGAGAUUUAAAACACAAAGAA